UACGUAGGGUGCAAGCGUUAAUCGGAAUUACUGGGCGUAAAGCGUGCGCAGGCGGUUGUGCAAGACAGAUGUGAAAUCCCCGGGCUCAACCUGGGAAUUGCAUUUGUGACUGUACGGCUAGAGUGUGUCAGAGGGGGGUAGAAUUCCACGUGUAGCAGUGAAAUGCGUAGAGAUGUGGAGGAAUACCGAGUGGCGAAGGCAGCCUCCUGGGCCAGCACUGACGCUCAUGCACGAAAGCGUGGGGAGCAAACAGG
rnacentral:rRNA from 1 species